ensembl:lncRNA
AUCUUUCUCUGGAGAUUGCUCAUCUUGGUGUCUUUUUCAGUAAGCCUGGGACACAGCCUUCUCCUUUGCAUGAAGCUGGGGGAUGCAGGGACUGACAGCACAGCACAGAGCUGCCUGGGAUUUGGGUUUGCGUAUUUGGUCACCAGAGGUCACAAUAAGCCAGAGGCAAACGCUGCUCACAAUGCACAACUCACCUCUUCCCAACCCAGUUUCCCCUAUGAAUAUACUAUGAAACCAACCAGGUGCUGUGCUUAUAUGUGGCACGGUUACACAAAAGGUGGAAGUUCUUUAUUUAGCCGUUAGAGGUGCCCUGAGCUAGUACCUCACCAGCCUCACAGGGGGUAGGAGCCUUGAGUCUAGAAGUUACAUGUCCUGCACCAUGCAGGAGCACUCCUUGCUGCAUCCCUUGUUGCCAUAUGUCUUGCUGUGUCUCCUUCUGCGUUACCUAGUGCGUACCUUAACCUGGAAGCUUACCUUGUGUUUAAAGAGAGGAAAUGCAGGCACCCGCCUGAUAAAGUCCAUCCCUUUGUGUGCACUCACUUUCUUUAUGGGAGUGUGUCAGGAAAAGAGGCAGACUCAGGUCUGUUAAUGAAUUACAAGAUGACUAUUGAGCUGAUAAUGUGAUGUCAAAAAAUGAGACUUCCUCUCUAGGCCCUGCAGUCCUGUGUCAAACAAUCAAUGAAGACUACCCAAAAAACAAAUGGAUACAGACUAGGCCACAGUGGUGAUCAACAGAAAAGCCAAGAAGCUCAAACAGCACAGCUUAUCUGUCCUAGGAAAAUAAAAGCUGGAAACAUUUUUGACAGCUGACUAUAAAUACACUGAGGAGUGAACAUACAGGAGGGAGACAAACUAUUCAGGGUGAAGGAUGUUCUUGGCACAAAAGCAGGUGGGUAUAACUUGCCUGUAAAUAUUUAGGCCAGAACUCAGAAAAGGAUUUCCAGGCCUCCCAAAUGCCUCCAUUUCUCAUAGGCAACAAAUGAUUCGUUUUGAUGUAGAUCUUUUGUUAGUCAAGGAAAUAAUGAGACAUGAUUGCCCAUGACAGCAGGGUACUGGCAAUGGCAAUCCAGCAGGCCUGUAGGAUCAUUUGUUGCCAAACCCCC